rnacentral:rRNA from 1 species
CCCUUAGAUGUUCUGGGCCGCACGCGCGCUACACUGAUGCAUUCAACGAGCCUAUCCUUGACCGACAGGUCCGGGUAAUCUUUGAAUCUGCAUCGUGACGGGGAUAGAUUAUUGCAAUUAUUAAUCUUCAACGAGGAAUGCCUAGUAGGCGCAAGUCAUCAGCUUGCGUCGAUUACGUCCCUGCCCUUUGUACACACCGCCCGUCGCUCCUACCGAUUCCGAGUGAUGAGGUGAACCUCUCGGACUGAAAAGGAAGUUAAGUAAACCUUAUCACUUAGAGGAAGGAGAAGUCGUAACA